AUACUAGAUAUUUUCAAAUACUUGUUUUGGUAAACUGCAACAAGCGUCACAAAUCCCAAUAGUUCCAAAAGUUAACAUUGAUGUUUCAAGUUUAGAUUGUUAAGAAACCUAUUGAGAGAGAGAUCAAUUUGAAUUACUGCAUACAUUACCAUGGAUUAUACUGAAGAUAAUUUGCUACUUCUUUUAAAAAUAUUUCUGAGGGUAGUUUUUAUUCUUCAAGUUUACUAUGUCAUAGGUGGUGAUCCAAAGAAAAAUAAAAGUGAUACUUAGAUUUUUCAGGCAUUCAAUAAGUGUGGACUCGAAGAAUGAGUAGAUGAGUGGAUGCAUAAAGAGCCAUAAAACUUUAUCCAUUAAAUCUGGUGAAGAAAUAAUUUCUAGUGGGAGCUAAGGCCUAAAAUCUAAAACAUAAUCUCGCAAGGGUGUAUUCCUGAUAGUCUAAUACUAGUAAAUAUCUUGUUGAAGCAGCUGAAGCAAUAAACAAUCACUUAUUUAUAUACUUAUAUGUAUAUAAGAAACCUUAGGCUCACAAAAAUAUACAUGUCUUAAAACGGAAAUCUAAGGCACACAAAAUACUAAAACAAGUCAACGAAUUACCCUAUUUUACAUAUUCAACAAGCAGAAAUCUACUUGUACACCAUGGUCUAUCAAUGGACAUUUUGUUAUUUACAAUCCCUUCAUAUUCCUUUACUUGGAUUAGUCAAAAGCUCAAAACAGAUACUUUGCACCAUGUAUUAUUUUAAUAAGUUACAAUGAGUUUUUCUUUAGAGAGCCUGCUGGAACUGUUUGCUUUUGCACCAAAAUUUUAAGUGUUAGCGGUUGUGGGCUUCCUAUGGCAUUUCCAAGGGAGAAGCACCAUUAGGUUUUCCAUACUCCCAAGGAAUCUGACACUUUGAAUGUGAUAGCACCUCUGCAUUUUAACAGAAUCAAGUAUUUCAUUGAAAAUUCUCCUUGUUCGAAACAUGUUGUUUGGGUAAUCCUUUUUGUUUUGCAAUAAAAUGAGUCAAUAAAGUAAUAGGAAGAAAAUGGGAAGACUAAAAUAAACUUAAUGCCUAUUUUCCUGUUACCUAGAACACAGGCAAUUAUCAGAAAAGAUGAGUUAUCAUUUUCCCAAAUCUAGUAUGCUAAGAUAAACAAAUGAAUUAGCUCUUAAUGGCCAAAGCCAUGUUUAUAGUACCAUUCCUCUUGUUUUUGACUUGGGGUUGGGGAGGCAUGUGAUGAUAAUAGGGAAUUUGUUUUCAAAAUAUUUCAACAAGAAUUUUUUUUUUUUCUAAUUCUGUAUCAGACUUCAGUACAAAUAUCUGUCUACUUAGUUUUUGUAUUUUAUCACC
rnacentral:lncRNA from 1 species